rnacentral:rRNA from 1 species
GGGUCAGUAGGUUGGUCGUGCCACCGGUACGUACUGGUCUCACUGAUUCCUCCUUCCUGAAGAACCGUAAUGCCAUUAAUUUGGUGUUGCGGGGAAACAGGACUGUUACUUUGAAAAAAUUAGAGUGUUUAAAGCAAGCUAACGCUUGAAUACAUUAGCAUGGAGUGAUGAAAUAGGACGAUCGAUCCUAUUUUGUUGGUUUCUAGGAUUGACGUA